rnacentral:rRNA from 1 species
UACGGAGGAUGCGAGCGUUAUCCGGAUUUAUUGGGUUUAAAGGGUGCGUAGGCGGAACAUUAAGUCAGCGGUAAAAUCGAGGGGCUCAACCCCUUUAAGCCGUUGAAACUGGUGAUCUUGAGUGGGCGAGAAGUAUGCGGAAUGCGUGGUGUAGCGGUGAAAUGCAUAGAUAUCACACAGAACACCGAUUGCGAAGGCAUCUCACGAAUCCGCGAUUGACGCUGAUGCACGAAAGCGUGGGUAUCAAACAGG